ensembl:lncRNA
AUCCAUUUAGUAGCCUCUUAUGGUUAUCAGUGAUAUGACCGUUUGUUCUAUUUGAUACUUCUACAGUGAUUCACUACAAAGUUAUUUGGCGACAUCAAAUACAGCGAACGUGCCCUGUAACUUUUCCCUGGAGGAGUAUGCCUGUGCAUCGGUGAGAUUUUUCCACUAUGGCCGUGAUUCUAGUGUAUGAGAGACAAAGAGAUGCUGUAGAGAUACCAAGGUAGAGAACAUCCUCUACAUGUAUUCAUUCAUUGACUCCAUGUCAUCUGCUCUUCUCUCUCAAAGCUGACAAACUUCACUGCAGAACACCUGGUGUCUCUUCUGAAAUGUAAACUGCCUGGCAACUCUUCUCACUCUAAAGAGACCUGGAAGGUUCUCCUCACCAAACUGACCUCUGUCUUAGACCAAGCUCUGGACAUGUUCUCCAAUAUGUCCAAACCUGUGAUUGGCCCUGCAGUAUCCCAGGCACUGGAUGUGAUUGGAGAGAUCCGGGUCAACAGGCUGACUGAGGAUCAGCUGAGAGACAGUGAUGUCAUCAGGAAGUGGUUCUCUGGGCGUCUGAGACUGUUCCUGCCGUCUGCAUCAGGAGGGUUUCUGCACUGCCUCAGCACCAAGAACCUAAGCUGUGACACAUAUCAACAGAUACUGAGGGAGUUCAGCAAUCAAUUUGACCAAAUGGACCAGAUGAGACAAGAGCUGGUGGUCAAAUACUUCAUCCAGCCCUUCCUGACCAAAAACUCCUCAGACUCUGGCUGUGUGUCCAACUCUAACAGCAGUGUGGACUGGCUGCAGAAGAACUUGGGGCGGUUUUCAGUCCUGCUGUCCCUCAGCGACCUGUUGAAACUCAACACAGACUUCUCUCCGUUGUCAGUCCUGGAGGUUCUCUCUCCAAAGCAGACAGCAGAACUGGUGGUGUUGCCUCUUCCUGGUCCUCCAGAGAAAGCUGUCAUCAUCAACACAGUGUUUGACUACCUGACUGAGUCACCAAAGGAGAGGAGACUCCCUGAGUUCCUGCAACAACUUGUCAACCUGACCAAACAGGAAAAUAUCCCUUGUGCCUCCUACAAGAUCAUUUUCACCAGACUGGACGAGGCCGUACCCACUGUUACCAUGGAGAUAGAGUCAGCCUUCACCUCCAGCAAGACGGCUUUACUACAGACCGUCCCAUCAGGUUGCAUUGUAUACAGUGGAGAGUGCAAUGUCACCCCAGUUAAUGAGACAAAAGUUUGUGCUGGUGUCGACAGCACUGCUCUACAGGGUCACCUUGACAACGGGCAGAUCAGCGGAGUCCUCUGUGAUUUCAACGUCGAUGUUUACGCUUGUGGCUCGCUGUCUGUGUUGACAUCAGAUAACUUGGUGAGCCUGUUAAAGUGUAAGCUGUCUGGAAACACCAGCCACUCAGCACAGAUCUGGAAACUGUUCUUCUCUAAGGUCUCAGUGGUUCUGGACUCAGCCCUGGAUCUCUUCUCCAACACCGUGAGAUAAAACUCUUAUCUAUUCAUAUCAUGCUUAUACUGUACAUAUAAACUUACUGAUUAAUUAUUACAGUAUGUAGGUCCCCUCUUAUACUGU